AAUCAAGCGCGAAAAGGGCGUUUGGUGAAUGCCUUGGCAGUAAGAGGCGAUGAAAGACGUGAUACUCUGCGAUAAGCCAUGGGGAGCUGAGAAUAAGCUUUGAUCCAUGGAUUUCUGAAUGGGGCAACCCACCUGAUACUUUGCUAUUUAUACUACUGAGUUGAGAUUGUGAGAGGGUUCGCCCUCAAGCAGCGCUCCGCGCGGUAGGGCAGAAUAGUACGGUAAACCAGGUAUUUAUGACCUGAAUACAUAGGGUUAUAAAGGCAAACCCGGGGAACUGAAACAUCUAAGUACCCGGAGGAAAGGACAUCAAUUGAUACUCCCCUAGUAGCGGCGAGCGAACGGGGACCAGCCGAGCCAUGAGUGCGAAUAGAAUGCGUUGGAAAGCGCAACCAUAGUGGGUGACAGUCCCGUAUAUGAAGCAUGAUUGGACGUAUUAAGUAGGGCGGAACACGUGAAAUUCUGCUUGAAGAUCGGAGGACCACCUUCGAAGGCUAAGUACUCCUUACUGACCGAUAGUGAACCAGUACCGUGAGGGAAAGGUGAAAAGCACCCCGACGAGGGGAGUGAAACAGUACCUGAAACCGAACGCCUACAAUCAGUCGGAGCCCCCAAUAUUCUUCGGAAUGGGCGGGGUGACGGCGUACCUUUUGUAUAAUGGGUCAUCGACUUGGUCUCACAAGCAAGCUUAAGCCGUUAGGUGUAGGCGUAGCGAAAGCGAGUCUUAAUAGGGCGUUGAGUUUGUGGGAUCAGACCCGAAACCGAGUGAUCUAGGCAUGACCAGGAUGAAGGUAAGGUAACACUUACUGGAGGUCCGAACCCACACCUGUUGAAAAAGGUCGGGAUGAGUUGUGCCUAGGGGUGAAAGGCCAAUCAAACUCGGAGAUAGCUGGUUCUCUGCGAAAUCUAUUUAGGUAGAGCGUCAUCCGAAUACCCUCGGGGGUAGAGCACUGGAUGGGUAAUGGGGCCUUACCGGCUUACUGAUCCUAACCAAACUCCGAAUACCGAGGAGUACUAGAUGGCAGACACACUGCGGAUGCUAACGUCCGUAGUGAAGAGGGAAACAACCCUGACCUCCAGCUAAGGCCCCUAAUUCAUGGCUAAGUGGGAAAGCAGGUGGGACGACCAAAACAACCAGGAGGUUGGCUUAGAAGCAGCCAUCCUUUAAAGAUAGCGUAACAGCUCACUGGUCUAAACAAGUUGUCCUGCGGCGAAGAUGUAACGGGGCUCAAGCCAUGAGCCGAAGCUGAGGAUGCCGCAAGGCAUGGUAGCAGAGCGUAGUGUGACAUAAUUCCAUGUCUCUUUAGCCACUUCGGUGGUUCUGGAGACACGGAAUUUUCUGUGAAGCCGGCGCGUGAGCGAUCCGGUGGAGAGAUCACUAGUGAGAAUGAUGACAUGAGUAGCGACAAAGAGUGUGAGAGACACUCUCGCCGAAAGUCCAAGGGUUCCUGCUUAAAGCUAAUCUGAGCAGGGUAAGCCGACCCCUAAGGCGAGGCCGAAAGGCGUAGUCGAUGGGAACCAGGUUAAUAUUCCUGGGCCAUGGAGUGGUGACGGAUCUCGAAGGUAGUUCAUCCUUAUCGGAUUGAAUGGGCUGCUCAGAGGUUCCUGGAAAUAGCCCUCCUAUAAGAUCGUACCCUAAACCGACACAGGUGGACUGGUAGAGAAUACCAAGGCGCUUGAGAGAACGAUGUUGAAGGAACUCGGCAAAAUACCUCCGUAAGUUCGCGAGAAGGAGGCCCAGUUUCUACGCAAGUAUUGGCUGGGGGCACAAACCAGGGGGUGGCGACUGUUUAUUAAAAACACAGGGCUCUGCGAAGUCGCAAGACGACGUAUAGGGUCUGACGCCUGCCCGGUGCCUGAAGGUUAAAAGGAGAGGUGAGAGCCUUGAAUUGAAGCCCAGGUAAACGGCGGCCGUAACUAUAACGGUCCUAAGGUAGCGAAAUUCCUUGUCGGGUAAGUUCCGACCUGCACGAAUGGCGUAACGACUUCCCCGCUGUCUCCAACAUCGACUCAGCGAAAUUGAAUUACCUGUCAAGAUGCAGGUUUCCCGCGGUUAGACGGAAAGACCCCGUGCACCUUUACUACAGCUUCGCACUGGCAUCAGGAUUGUGAUGUGCAGAAUAGGUGGUAGGCUUUGAAUCAGGAACGCCAGUUUCUGUGGAGCCUCCUUUGAGAUACCACCCUUCGCACUCUUGAUGUCUAACCGCGGUCCGUUAUCCGGAUCCGGGACCCUGCGUGGCGGGUAGUUUGACUGGGGCGGUCGCCUCCUAAAGCGUAACGGAGGCGCGCGAAGGUUGGCUCAGAGCGGUCGGAAAUCGCUCGUUGAGUGCAAUGGCAGAAGCCAGCCUGACUGCGAGACUGACAAGUCGAGCAGAGUCGAAAGACGGCCAUAGUGAUCCGGUGGUCCCGAGUGGAAGGGCCAUCGCUCAACGGAUAAAAGGUACGCCGGGGAUAACAGGCUGAUACUGCCCAAGAGUCCAUAUCGACGGCAGUGUUUGGCACCUCGAUGUCGGCUCAUCUCAUCCUGGGGCUGGAGCAGGUCCCAAGGGUACGGCUGUUCGCCGUUUAAAGAGGUACGUGAGCUGGGUUUAGAACGUCGUGAGACAGUUCGGUCCCUAUCUGCCGUGGGUGUAGGAUACUUGAGAGGAGUUGCCCCUAGUACGAGAGGACCGGGGUGAACGAACCACUGGUGGACCAGUUGUCGUGCCAACGGCAGUGCUGGGUAGCUAUGUUCGGACAGGAUAACCGCUGAAGGCAUCUAAGCGGGAAGCCCCCCUCAAAACAAGGUAUCCCUGAGGACCGUGGUAGACCACCACGUCGAUAGGCCGGAGAUGUAAGCGCAGCAAUGCGUUCAGUUGACCGGUACUAAUUGUCCGAUAGGCUUGAUUUG
rnacentral:rRNA from 1 species